GACGAACGCUGGCGGCGUGCUUAACACAUGCAAGUCGAACGGAAAGGCCCUGCUUUUGUGGGGUGCUCGAGUGGCGAACGGGUGAGUAACACGUGAGUAACCUGCCCUUGACUUUGGGAUAACUUCAGGAAACUGGGGCUAAUACCGGAUAGGAGCUCCUGCUGCAUGGUGGGGGUUGGAAAGUUUCGGCGGUUGGGGAUGGACUCGCGGCGUAUCAGCUUGUUGGUGGGGUAGUGGCUUACCAAGGCUUUGACGGGUAGCCGGCCUGAGAGGGUGACCGGCCACAUUGGGACUGAGAGACGGCCCAGACGCAUACGGGAGGCAGCAGUGGGGAAUAUUGCACAAUGGGCGGAAGCCUGAUGCAGCAACGCCGCGUGCGGGAUGACGGCGUUCGGGUUGUAAACCGCUUUCGCCUGUGACGAAGAGUGAGUGACGGUAAUGGGUAAAGAAGCACCGGCUAACUACGU
rnacentral:rRNA from 1 species